rnacentral:rRNA from 1 species
CGCGAGUAUUCAGAGUUGAUCCUGGCUCAGGACGAACGCUGGCGGCGUGCCUAACACAUGCAAGUCGAGCGGGGAUAGUGAGGAGCUUGCUCUGAGCUAUUCUAGCGGCGGACGGGUGAGUAACGCGUGAGCAACCUGCCUCUUACUGGGGGAUAACGCAUCGAAAGAUGUGCUAAUACCGCGUAAGACCACAGUGCCGCAUGGUACAGAGGUCAAAGGAGCAAUCCGGUAAGAGAUGGGCUCGCGUCCGAUUAGCUAGUUGGUGAGAUAACGGCCCACCAAGGCGACGAUCGGUAGCCGACCUGAGAGGGUGAUCGGCCACAUUGGAACUGAGAUACGGUCCAG